rnacentral:rRNA from 1 species
GAUGAACGCUAGCGGCAGGCCUAAUACAUGCAAGUCGGGCGGCAGCGGGCCCCUCGGGGCGCCGGCGAGCGGCGGACGGGUGCGCAACGCGUAUGCAACCAACCGACGGCCGGGGCACAGCUCCCGGAAACGGGAAUUAAUGCCCCAUGCGGCGGGCGGGCCUGAUGGCCCGCCGGCGAAAGGAGCGAUCCGGCGGUCGACGGGCAUGCGUCCCAUUAGCUAGUUGGGGGGGUAACGGCCCACCAAGGCGACGAUGGGUAGGGGGUCUGAGAGGAUGGUCCCCCACACUGGCACUGAGAUACGGGCCAGACUCCUACGGGAGGCAGCAGUAGGGAAUAUUGGGCAAUGGGCGCCAGCCUGACCCAGCCAUGCCGCGUGGGCGAAGAAGGCCCUCGGGUCGUAAAGCCCUUUUCCGGGGGGCGAACCGCGGGGACGAGUCCCCGCCUGACGGUACCCCGGGAAUAAGCACCGGCUAACUCCGUGCCAGCAGCCGCGGUAAUACGGAGGGUGCGAGCGUUGUCCGGAUUUAUUGGGCUUAAAGGGUACGUAGGCGGCCCGUUAAGUCAGCGGUGAAAGGCCCCGGCUCAACCGGGGGAGCGCCGUUGAUACUGGCGGGCUUGAGUGCCGCGGGGGUGGGCGGAAUUCCUCAUGUAGCGGUGAAAUGCAUAGAUAUGAGGAGGAACCCCGAUAGCGAAGGCAGCCCACUGCACGGCAACUGACGCUGAGGUACGAAAGCGUGGGGAUCGAACAGGAUUAGAUACCCUGGUAGUCCACGCCGUAAACGAUGGUCACUAGGUGCGCGCGGUACACGGCGCGUGCCCAAGCGAAAGCGAUAAGUGACCCGCCUGGGGAGUACGCCGGCAACGGUG